ACUUUAUGGAGUACAUAGGGAAAACGAAACAAUAAAAAAAUCAACAGAAAUCGUAAACAAUAAACGAACUAUAGAUACAGAACAGGUUACACAAGAGAUGGGAGAAAUGGGAGAAAUGGGAGAAAUGAGAGAGAUGGGAGAGAUGGAAGAGAUGGGCGGAUGUACACCUAGAAUAGGAACAUAUAAAGCAAAAAAUAAAGACAUAAUUAAAAAUAAGUUUAAAAAUGUUGUAAAAAAUGAGUUAUUAUCAGUAAAAGGUGAUGAAUCUAUAAUAAGAAAUGUUGAUAGCAGUGUUGGAAGUCGUGUCAACAGUAACAUCAAUAGUAGUGGUCGUUAUAACACAGAGAAUAUGAAUUAUCCAGUUUGGAGUAUUGUCAAUAAUAUACAGAAGAACAUAAAGGUAGCAUUGGUAUCAUUUUUAAAAUGUUAUUAUAAAUGUAUAUUAAUAUUAAAAUUAAAAUUAUAUAAUAACUCUUUUACUCAAGAUAAGGUUUUAAAAAGGAUAAAGCAAAUUACGCAUUUCACAUAUAGUCUUUAUACUUUAUUAAAAAUAAAAAACUACCCCAUUUGUAAGGAACACAAUUUUGUGAUAAAUGAGUUGAAUAAGAAUUUCUUUUACAUUGAUAUAUUUUCGAAGGCAUCAUUUUUUGAAAUACUGCCGGAGGAUAGCUAUGUUAAGAAUAUAUAUGUAUCUUUUACGUUGGAAAAUAAAAAUGAUUACAAUGUGAGUAAUGUAAAAGAAAAAAGAAAAGAAUGGCUUGAUACUCAUGAUACGGAUAUCAUUAAUGUACUAUAUUCAUACAAAAUGACAAACUCUAAUAAUAAAACACAUGUCAUGCAUAAAAAAGCGAUUGCAAUUAAAAAAGAUGAUAUUACAAAAGAGUAUAUGACACUAAUUUAUUAUUACUAUUAUAUAAAAAGUGAAAUAUGUAAAAAAUUAAAGAGUACUAGUAUUCCUAUUUUAUAUUGUAAAGCAAAAAAAAUGGACAAAGAUUUUAAGAAUUCUGUUGAUUAUUUUGAUCUUUUAUUUGAUUCUCGAUUAUACAUGUUAGUAUUAAAUUAUGAAUUACAAAAUACAAUUAUAACCUUUUUUACGUCAUGUAUCAAUUUUUUGAUGUCACAAUAUUUUGGAAAAAAUGAUCAAAGUAACAAAGGGAAAAAGCAUAUAUUUUUUACACUUAUUAUUAAGGCAAUGAAAAUAUAUACUAUGAUUUUUUCUUUAUUUUUUAUACGGUUGAAUUGCUUUUUAGAACAAUCUACAAAUAAUAUAUACAAUGUAUUAAAUAACAAAAUGAAUAUAUAUUCUUAUAAUGAUGAAAUGACACAAGCGAUGUUAAAUAUUUUUAAUUUUAUUAAUUUUCGAUAUGGUUGUUCAUAUACGUUUUUAAAUUAUGUUUAUACUUCGUUUCACAUUUUUAUUAACGCAAUGGUACAAAUGAACCUAAACAUUUACUUUGAUAAAAAGUACAUAGGAACAGUUGAAUAUAGUAAUGAUAGUCUAUCAAAUAAAAAACAAAAAAAAAAAGAAGAUAAACAUGUAUUCAAAUUGAAUGUGAUGAAUCGAACGUGUAAAUCGAAAGGUAAGCGGCUCAAAAAGGUCAAAAUAAACGAGGUACAUUUAGAAAAGAAGCAUAUU
rnacentral:lncRNA from 1 species